UGUGGGAGAGGAACAUGGGCUCAGGACAGCGGGUGUCAGCUUGCCUGACCCCCAUGUCGCCUCUGUAGGUAGAAGAAGUAUGUCUUCCUGGACCCCCUGGCUGGUGCUGUAACAAAGACCCAUGUGAUGCUGGGGGCAGAGACAGAGGAGAAGCUGUUUGAUGCCCCCUUGUCCAUCAGCAAGAGAGAGCAGCUGGAACAGCAGGUCCCAGAGAACUACUUCUAUGUGCCAGACCUGGGCCAGGUGCCUGAGAUUGAUGUUCCAUCCUACCUGCCUGACCUGUCCGGCAUUGCCAACGACCUCAUGUACAUUGCCGACCUGGGCCCCGGCAUUGCCCCCUCUGCCCCUGGCACCAUUCCAGAACUGCCCACCUUCCACACUGAGACCUACAAGAUGGGGUACUAACACCACCCCCACCGCCCCCACCACCACCCCCAGCUCCUGAGGUGCUGGCCAGUGCACCCCCACUCCCACCCUCAACCGCGGCCCCUGUAGGCCAAGGCGCCAGGCAGGACGACAGCAGCAGCAGCGCGUCUCCUUCAGUCCAGGGAGCUCCCAGGGAAGUGGUCGACCCCUCCGGUGGCCGGGCCACUCUGCUAGAGUCCAUCCGCCAAGCUGGGGGCAUCGGCAAGGCCAAGCUGCGCAGCAUGAAGGAGCGAAAGCUGGAGAAGAAGAAGCAGAAGGAGCAGGAGCAAGUGAGAGCCACGAGCCAAGGUGGGCACUUGAUGUCGGAUCUCUUCAACAAGCUGGUCAUGAGGCGCAAGGGCAUCUCUGGGAAAGGACCUGGGGCUGGUGAGGGGCCCGGAGGAGCCUUUGCCCGCGUGUCAGACUCCAUCCCUCCUCUGCCGCCACCGCAGCAGCCACAGGCAGAGGAGGACGAGGACGACUGGGAAUCCUAGGGGGCUCCAUGACACCUUCCCCCCCAGACCCAGACUUGGGCCGUUGCUCUGACAUGGACACAGCCAGGACAAGCUGCUCAGACCUACUUCCUUGGGAGGGGGUGACGGAACCAGCACUGUGUGGAGACCAGCUUCAAGGAGCGGAAGGCUGGCUUGAGGCCACACAGCUGGG
rnacentral:lncRNA from 1 species